GACGAACGCUGGCGGCGUGCUUAACACAUGCAAGUCGAACGGAAAGGCCCUGCUUUUGUGGGGUUCUCGUUUGGCGAACGGGUGAGUAACACGUGAGUAACCUGCCCUUGACUUUGUGGUAACUUCUGGAAACUGGGUCUAUUACCGGAUAGGAUCUCCUGCUGCAUGGUGGUGGUUGGUGAGUUUCGGCGUUUGGGGAUGGAUUCGCUGCUUAUCAGCUUGUUGGUGUGGUAGUGGCUUACCAAGGCUUUGACGGAUAGGCGGCCUGGGAGCGUGACCGGCCACAUGGGGCCUGCGAGACGGACCAGAAUCGAACCGGACGCAGCAGUGGGGAACAUGGCACAGUGGGCGGAAGCGUGAUAUGGCAACGUCGCGUGCGUGAAACCGGGUUACUGGUGGUAAACAGCUGUCGAAUGUAACGAAGCGAGAGUGACGGUACCGGGUCAAGAAGCAACGGCUAACUACGUG
rnacentral:rRNA from 1 species